UACAGAGGGUGCGAGCGUUGUUCGGAAUUAUUGGGCGUAAAGGGCGCGUAGGCGGCGCCACAAGUCACUUGUGAAAACUCUGGGCUCAACUCCAGAACUGCCUUCGAUACUGAGAGUCUCGAGUCCGGGAGAGGUGAGUGGAACUGCGAGUGUAGAGGUGAAAUUCGUAGAUAUUCGCAAGAACACCAGUGGCGAAGGCGGCCCACUGGCCCGGUACUGACGCUGAGGUGCGAAAGCGUGGGGAGCAAACAGG
rnacentral:rRNA from 1 species